rnacentral:misc_RNA from 1 species
AACCGAACUUUCCCUUGUCUUUAACCUUUCUAAGCCUCACUAUUAGUUACUGGUUUCUGAACCAUGGCACCAACACCACCCACCUCCCUAGAGUUCAAGGUUCAUAGGCGUGAACCUGAACUAAUCGCCCCUGCUAAGCCUACCCCUCAUGAGUUCAAACCAUUAUCGGACAUUGAUGACCAAGAGGGUCUUCGAUUUCACAUUCCGGUGAUACAGUUUUAUCGGUAUGAUCCCUCCAUGCAAGGGAGAGAUCCUGUUAUGGUGAUAAGAGAGGCACUCGCUAGAACACUAGUGUU